AACGCACCUUGCGCUCCUUGGUAUUCCUUGGAGCAUGCCUGUUUGAGUAUCAUGAAAUUCUCAAAGUCAAUCUUUUGUUAAUUCAAUUGAUUUGUGCUUUGGACUUGGAGGUCUUUGCGGAUUAAUAAUCUGCUCCUCUUAAAUUCAUUAGCUGGAUCUCAGUAUAUGCUUGGUUCCACUCGGCGUGAUAAGUUAUCACUCGCUGAGGACACUGUAAAAGGUGGCCAGGAAAUACAGAUGAACCGCUUCUAAUAGUCUAUUAAAUUAGACAAUUAAAUUUUAAGAUCUGAUCUCAAAUCAGGUAGGACUACCCGCUGAACUUAA
rnacentral:misc_RNA from 1 species